CUGAGAGAGAGGAAGAUG
rnacentral:misc_RNA from 1 species